CAGCAGCCGCGGUAAUACGUAGGGUGCAAGCGUUAAUCGGAAUUACUGGGCGUAAAGCGUGCGCAGGCGGUGUUGUAAGACUGAUGUGAAAUCCCCGGGCUCAACCUGGGAAUUGCAGUGGAUACUGGGUCACUAGAGUGUGGUAGAGGAUAGUGGAAUUUCCGGUGUAGCAGUGAAUUCGUAGAGAUCGGAAGGAACAUCUGUGGCGAAGGCGACUAUCUGGGCCAACACUGACACUGAGGCACGAAAGCGUGGGGAGCAAACAGGAUUAGAUACCCCUGUAGUCCCUGUCUCUUAUACA
rnacentral:rRNA from 1 species